AACGAACGCUGGCGGCAUGCCUAACACAUGCAAGUCGAACGGGAUCCUGGCUUCGGCCAGGUGAGAGUGGCGGACGGGUGAGUAACGCGUAGGAACCUGCCCAUCGGUCUGGGAUAACUGCGGGAAACUGCAGCUAAUACCGGAUGUACCCGAGAGGGGAAAGAUUUAUCGCCGAUGGAGGGGCCCGCGUCAGAUUAGGUAGUUGGUGAGGUAACGGCUCACCAAGCCUACGAUCUGUAGCUGGUCUGAGAGGAUGAUCAGCCACACUGGGACUGAGAUACGGCCCAGACUCCUACGGGAGGCAGCAGUGGGGAAUAUUGGACAAUGGGGGGCAACCCUGAUCCAAGCAAUGCCGCGUGAGUGAUGAAGGCCUUAGGGUUGUAAAGCUCUUUAGCCGACGAAUAUAAUGACUGUAGUCGGAGAAUAAGCCCCGGCUAACUUCGUGCCAGCAGCCGCGGUAA
rnacentral:rRNA from 1 species